CUCUAUGGCCAUGCCACCCUGAACAUGCCUGAUCUCAUCUGAUCUUGGAAGUUAAGCAGUGUUGGGCCUGAUUAGUACUUGGAUGGGAGAACACCUAGGAAUACCAGGUGCUGUAGGCA
rnacentral:rRNA from 1 species